rnacentral:rRNA from 1 species
UCAGGACGAACGCUGGCGGCGUGCCUAAUACAUGCAAGUCGAACGGCUUUUCUAUGGAAGCUUGCUUCCACUGAGAAGAUAGUGGCGAACGGGUGAGUAACACGUGGGUAACCUGCCCAUAAGAGGGGGAUAACAUCCGGAAACGGGUGCUAAUACCGCAUAGUUUUCUUGAUCGCAUGAUCGGGAAAGGAAAGACGGCCUUUGUGCUGUCGCUUAUGGAUGGACCCGCGGCGUAUUAGUUAGUUGGUGAGGUAACGGCUCACCAAGACGAUGAUACGUAGCCGACCUGAGAGGGUGAUCGGCCACAUUGGGACUGAGACACGGCCCAAACUCCUACGGGAGGCAGCAGUAGGGAAUCUUCCGCAAUGGACGAAAGUCUGACGGAGCAACGCCGCGUGAGUGAAGAGGGGUUUUUUCCGGAUCGUAAAACUCUGUUGUCAGAGAAGAACAAGUUGGAGAGUAACUGCUCCAGCCUUGACGGUAUCUGACCAGAAAGCCACGGCUAACUACGUGCCAGCAGCAGC